rnacentral:rRNA from 5 species
CGAUGAAGAGCGCAGCCAACUGUGUGAAUUAAUGUGAACUGCAUACUGCUUUGAACAUCGACAUCUUGAACGCACAUUGCGGCCAUGGGUUGUCCCAUGGCCACGCCUGUCCGAGGGUCGGCU